AGUGAACGCUGGCGGUAGGCCUAACACAUGCAAGUCGAACGGCAGCACAGUAAGAGCUUGCUCUUACGGGUGGCGAGUGGCGGACGGGUGAGGAAUACAUCGGAAUCUACUUUUUCGUGGGGGAUAACGUAGGGAAACUUACGCUAAUACCGCAUACGACCUACGGGUGAAAGCAGGGGAUCUUCGGACCUUGCGCGAUUGAAUGAGCCGAUGUCGGAUUAGCUAGUUGGCGGGGUAAAGGCCCACCAAGGCGACGAUCCGUAGCUGGUCUGAGAGGAUGAUCAGCCACACUGGAACUGAGACACGGUCCAGACUCCUACGGGAGGCAGCAGUGGGGAAUAUUGGACGAAGGGCGCAAGCCUGAUCCAGCCACACCGCGUGGGUGAAGAAGGCCUUCGGGUUGUAAAGCCCUUUUGUUGGGAAAGAAAAGCAGCAGGUUAAUACCCCGCUGUUCUGACGGUACCCAAAGAAUAAGCACCGGCUAACUUCGUG
rnacentral:rRNA from 1 species